GUCUACGGCCGCACCGCCCUGAGCGCGCGGGACCCUGUCUGACCUCGGAAGCUAAGCAGGGUUGGGCCCGGUUAGGAUCUUGGAUGGGAGUCCAAUAUAUGCAUUUGGAAUGAUACAUU
rnacentral:rRNA from 1 species